UACGGAGGAUGCAAGCGUUAUCCGGAAUGAUUGGCGUAAAGCGUCCGCAGGUGGCUGUGUAAGUCUGCUGUCAAAGAGCAAAGCUCAACUUUGUAAAGGCAGUGGAAACUACACGGCUAGAGUGCGUUCGGGGCAGAGGGAAUUCCUGGUGUAGCGGUGAAAUGCGUAGAGAUCAGGAAGAACACCGGUGGCGAAGGCGCUCUGCUAGGCCGCAACUGACACUGAGGGACGAAAGCUAGGGGAGCGAAUGGG
rnacentral:rRNA from 1 species